GGGUGAACCGUAGUUACCAGGCAACCCUGAGGAGCUGUAGGGAGUAUGCUCCUGUAACUCCCCGGACUUGGAAGUGGAAGAAAGUUAAGUGGUGUGUGCUGGUAUGAAUAGAGUCUGACAGAGGCUGAAUCACACUGACAGCUGACUGAGGCUCCCCCCUCUCUCUCGCUCUCUGUCUUCGCCCCUUGAAGCUGAUGGACUUCAUUAGGACUGGAUCUGUUAAUCAUCAGGUGACAGAUAAAGCUGUCAAGUCUGGAUCCUUCCCAGAAAAACUCACCCCUUCAGGCACUGCAUCGCCACACCUGAAUUCAGCUGCAGUGAUGGGAGACCUGAGAGGAGCACCUGCUGGCUGACAGCUCUGUAGCCAUUGUGCUGACGGGUCAACGUGAUCAACCAAGUGCUCCAUGAAGCCAGAGAGCAGAGGAGCUCAGGAGAAGGCGAAGGAUGCUCCAGGCUGGUUGUAUGAAACUGAGCAAACUGCAAGUGAACGAGGACCUCUGAAGUCUGAAGGAGGCAUUACAAGCUGACACACUACUGUGAUAAUGAAGGCAGGCGCCACUUUGAGGACUUCAUCGUGAUUAUGCAGGAAUGUAAGGCAUGAGGUGCUCACAUUGUUGGUGCAAACGAGGAAGGUGUUCAUUAAAACAGACAACAACGUUGCUCUUAUGAGAGAUUUUUCUCACCUGAGUUGCAGCUUUAGAUUUGGAGUGCUUUGCCAACACUGUAUGGAAAAGAAACAACAAAUAUUACCUUGGAUGGAACAAAAAAAUGUUGGUCAAUCAUU